CAGUAGCCACGGGAACACGUAGGUGGCAAGCGUUGUCCGGAAUUAUUGGGCGUAAAGCGCGCGCAGGCGGAUAGGUCAGUCUGUCUUAAAAGUUCGGGGCUUAACCCCGUGAUGAGAUGGAAACUGCCAAUCUAGGGUAUCGGAGAGGAAAGUGGAAUUCCUAGUGUAGCGGUGAAAUGCGUAGAUAUUAGGAAGAACACCAGUGGCGAAGGCGACUUUCUGGACGAAAACUGACGCUGAGGCGCGAAAGCCAGGGGAGCGAACGGGAUUAGAUACCCGCGUAGUCCCUGUCUCUUAUACC
rnacentral:rRNA from 1 species